GAUGAACGCUGGCGGCGUGCCUAAUACAUGCAAGUCGAGCGAACAGAUAAGGAACUUGCUCCUUUGACGUUAGCGGCGGACGGGUGAGUUACACGUGGAUAACCUACCUAUAAGACUGGGAUAACUUCGGGAAACCGGAGCUAAUACCGGAUAACAUAUUGAACCGCAUGGUUCAAUAGUGAAAGGCGGCUUUGCUGUCACUUAUAGAUGGAUCCGCGCCGUAUUAGCUAGUUGGUAAGGUAACGGCUUACCAAGGCAACGAUACGUAGCCGACCUGAGAGGGUGAUCGGCCACACUGGAACUGAGACACGGUCCAGACUCCUACGGGAGGCAGCAGUAGGGAAUCUUCCGCAAUGGGCGAAAGCCUGACGGAGCAACGCGGCGUGAGUGAUGAAGGUCUUCGGAUCGUAAAACUCUGUUAUCAGGGAAGAACAAAUGUGUAAGUAACUGUGCACAUCUUGACGGUACCGGAUCAGAAAGCCACGGCUAACUACGU
rnacentral:rRNA from 1 species